UAGUGGGAGAGCGGCCCCGUCGCCAACCAAUCACGUCGCGGUAUGCAAACGAGCAGGAGGCGAGGCUGCGCAGCUACCCCAGCGCACCGCGCCGCCGCCCUCGAGCAGGUGCAGGCUGCGCGAGCCCGAGCCGAGCAAGGCGCGGAUUGCGAGGAGUCUGCCGCUGUGCGGUGGAACCCGUAAGAGAGGAGGCAGGCGGCAGGCCUGGCCACCCGCACCAUCUCCAGCAGCCGCUACCACUCAGGGUACUUGGCGGACGACGAGGCCGGCCACUCUGCAUAUGUGACACGGGUGCAGCCACCCAAGCAGCCACUGUUUUCUGAGAUGAGAGCAGCCCACA